rnacentral:lncRNA from 1 species
ACCCAAAAUCCUCUCAUCAUCUUGCAAUGUACCUAUCUUGCAUAAUUGUCCUUCAAUAUUAUAUAAUCUUUUUCUUUCUUUUCUUUUAAAAUCAUCAACUUUCUUAUACAUAAUAUUUCUAUUCUCCAAUAUACCAAUAAAACUCACAUCAAAGGCACCUUCAUCUCGCGAGAGUACCUCCUCUUUUGUACCUCCAUAAUCU